ACUGGGUGCAGUGGCUCACGCCUAUAGCCAGAUACUUGGGAGGCUGAGGCAGGAGGAUUGCUUGAGCCCAGGAGUGAGAUGCCAACCUGGGCAACAUAGUGAGAGCCCCCCCCAU
rnacentral:sRNA from 1 species